UAAAUUUUAUCUCAUGUAUUAAAUUUGGAAUGAUGCAGAGAAAACUAGCAUGGCCCAAGAACAAGGAUGACACCAAAUUCUUGAAGCCUUCUCAUAAUUUU
ensembl:snRNA U6 U6 spliceosomal RNA